UACAGAGGUCUCAAGCGUUGUUCGGAUUCAUUGGGCGUAAAGAGCGCGCAGGCGGUCGUUCAAGUCAAGUGUGAAAGCCCCCGGCUCAACUGGGGAGGGUCACUCGAUACUGAUCGACUUGAAGGCAGGAGAGGGAAGCGGAAUUCCCGGUGUAGUGGUGAAAUGCGUAGAUAUCGGGAGGAACACCAGUGGCGAAGGCGGCUUCCUGGCCUGUUCUUGACGCUGAGGCGCGAAAGCUAGGGUAGCAAACGGG
rnacentral:rRNA from 1 species